CUUUCGUCCAGUAGUUACAGAGCUAGUGAGUCCCUUCCUCCCGUCUCUCAUGCCCAGGAAAUGCUCCAGCGACCCCAGCUCAGUUUUCACUUAAGUCCUUCCUCAUGGCUGUUUAGCAGAGUGUAAUUUAGGCCAAUUACUUUGCUGAUGCCGCUUAUCCUCCCUCCUCGCCCUCCCCUAAAUUCCCACUGUACCCCCGCUCCUUCCCCAUUUACAUUUUUCAGAUGAAACAAUAGACAGAAUGUGAAAGUGAGCCUAGCUCAUUUGGCCUGGAGGCUACAACAGGUUGAUACUACCAGAGGAGCAAGGCCCACCUGACGGGACUAGGGGAAACACGUGGAUGCUGACAGGGAUUUGGGAGAUGACAGUGACAAUCUUGAGCAUUGAAGUGGAGGAGGCAAGAAGCACCAGAGCAAGAAAGCAAGAGAGAUGCAUCAAAGACGCCAGGACAAACCUGGUAUCUCCAAGAAAGUGAUUAGAAACAAAAUCAAAAACAAAGCCAAGACCUAAUUCUAAAAUAUUCUGUACCUGAAGGGAAGCUUGGUCUCUACCCAAUCCCAAGGAAGGUGUGAUUGGACCAAAAAAAUGAUCUCAGUGUUCCCAGCACCUUGCACAGUGCCUGACACUGGAGGCACAGAAGCACCCUGUAAGUUUAGGACUGAACUAAUGUAAUUGAAAUGAAUACAGGUAUGCUUUGCCUGGGGAGGCCUAAAUGUUUUGCUCAUUUCAGCUUAAAAAGGCCAAAACAGAAACAUACAAAUAAAAUUUGUAAAUCACAAGUAACAUGGUCAAUGUAAACGUGUUCAUUAAAUCUUGAAAAUAGUAGAACAAGAGAGAAUCUUGGAAGUUAAGUGAGAUGAAUACAGACUCUGCAAAAUGUCCUCUCUGCAUCACUUCAGCUGUUACUAAUGUAAGAAGAAAGUGAUCAAUUAUAUGGCUAAAUCAUUCCUAAGAGAAACUGGGCUCAUUCCAAUCUUUCAAAUGUGUUUACUACUUCAUUCAGCAAGUAUUUAUUGAGUGUAUACUGUGCCAAACCUGUACAAAUACUAGCAUUGACAUAGCGAACAAAAAUUAUAAUUGCAAGUCCUUCGGUACUUGCAGCCUAGUUGACAUGUGUGAGUAUGUUGGGUUCACUGAUACGUCCUUUGUGCCCUGGUCAGAUCCUGCAUCUGAUGUUCAGUUGCAGCUUCUAUAUGUUUUUUUCUUCCCUUUUCUGCUAAUUUGGAGUUAAAAAGUGGGGAACUGUUGAAGUUGAAUUUGGGGUUUUAACACUUAAACAAGCAAUUAUCAACUAUUCACAGUAGCACAGAAAAAGACCACACAUUACCUGAGAUCGCUCUAAGAUGCAGUGGUGGAAGUAUAUAUUAAAUGUGGUGAACUGCUCUUUUUCAAGCUCUCUAAUACAGUUUGUAUUUUAAAUAUGUUCUUUAAGCCUCCACUACAGUAGGAAAUGUGGGACAACAAUGAAGAAUAUCUAUAUCCUUAAUUGCAC
rnacentral:lncRNA from 10 species